CAUGCCCAGGGCUGAUCUCAAACCACCGUCAAGGAAUCUUUUUAUAAGAAGACAGGGCCUGAGUAUAAGACUGAAGGAGAAGAGUUGGAAUAUUUCUGAAAAGGAGCUAAAGCAACUCUACUCUGGCCCCUCUGGUUCUUAAAGUCAGAAGUCCAACAAGACCCUUACUGGGCUGAAAUCAAGGCGUCAGCAAGUCUGCAUCCCUUUCUGAAGACUCGAGGGAAAAUUCUGUUCCACUGCCUUUUCCAGCUUCUAGAGGCUACCCAUAUUUCUUGGCUUUCUGUCCCCUUCCUUCACCUUCACCAGUCGUGCUGUCUUUCUCAUGCUGCUAUCUCUCUGGUUCUCUGCAGCUGGGAAAAUUUCUUCAAUUUUAAGGACUCAU